GAUGAACGCUGGCGGCGUGCCUAAUACAUGCAAGUCGAGCGAACAGACGAGGAGCUUGCUCCUCUGACGUUAGCGGCGGACGGGUGAGUAACACGUGGAUAACCUACCUAUAAGACUGGGAUAACUUCGGGAAACCGGAGCUAAUACCGGAUAAUAUAUUGAACCGCAUGGUUCAAUAGUGAAAGACGGUUUUGCUGUCACUUAUAGAUGGAUCCGCGCCGCAUUAGCUAGUUGGUAAGGUAACGGCUUACCAAGGCAACGAUGCGUAGCCGACCUGAGAGGGUGUGCGCCCACACGGGAACUGAGCACGGUCCGAGACUCCUGGGGGGGGCGGAAGUGGGGAAUCUUCCGCAAGGGGGGAAACCCUGACGGAGCAGCCCCGAGGGAGUAAUGAAGUUCUUCGGACCUAAAAACUUUUUUAUAGGGAAAAAAAAAAUGUGAAAGAAACAAUGCACGUCUGGAGGUUCCCAAAUAAAAAACCCCCGGCAACCUCGGUC
rnacentral:rRNA from 1 species